UACGUAGGGUGCAAGCGUUAAUCGGAAUUACUGGGCGUAAAGCGUGCGCAGGCGGUUUUGUAAGUCUGUCGUGAAAUCCCCGGGCUCAACCUGGGAAUGGCAUUUGGGACUGCAAGGCUGGAGUGCGGCAGAGGAGACUGGAAUUCCUGGUGUAGCAGUGAAAUGCGUAGAUAUCAGGAGGAAUACCGAUGGCGAAGGCAGGUCUCUGGGCUGACACUGACGCUCAUGCACGAAAGCGUGGGGAGCAAACAGG
rnacentral:rRNA from 1 species